rnacentral:rRNA from 1 species
UAGGGGAUCUUCCACAAUGGGCGAAAGCCUGAUGGAGCAACGCCGCGUGUGUGAUGAAGGGUUUCGGCUCGUAAAACACUGUUGUAAGAGAAGAAUGACAUUGAGAGUAACUGUUCAAUGUGUGACGGUAUCUUACCAGAAAGGAACGGCUAAAUACGUGCCA